UUGAUUAGAUGCUACUGGGUGGAUCGAUUUUUGCCAUGACCUCUGUCACCUACCAAAGUACUCCUCAGUACUCCAUUGGUCGCAGAGGGUCUCCCAUAUGUCUGUCCGUAUCUAGUGAUUUAUGUAAGGCUUCUAGUCCGAUAGUGACUCGAAACUGAAGUGCUCUAUGAUGGACUGUCGAAGGCUGUACAGCCCAUCCCAGAAUCUCC
rnacentral:lncRNA from 1 species